rnacentral:rRNA from 1 species
CAGUAGCCGCGGGAAUACGAAGGGGGCCAGCGUUGUUCGGAUUUACUGGGCGUAAAGCGCACGUAGGCGGAUCGAUCAGUCAGGGGUGAAAUCCCAGAGCUCAACUCUGGAACUGCCUUUGAUACUGUCGAUCUGGAGUAUGGAAGAGGUGAGUGGAAUUCCGAGUGUAGAGGUGAAAUUCGUAGAUAUUCGGAGGAACACCAGUGGCGAAGGCGGCUCACUGGUCCAUUACUGACGCUGAGGUGCGAAAGCGUGGGGAGCAAACAGGAUUAGAUACCCCCGUAGUCCCUGUCUCUUAUAC